rnacentral:misc_RNA from 1 species
GAUGAAGAACGCAGCGAAAUGCGAUAAGUAAUGUGAAUUGCAGAAUUCAGUGAAUCAUCGAAUCUUUGAACGCACAUUGCGCCCGCCAGUAUUCUGGCGGGCAUGCCUGUUCGAGCGUCAUUACAACCCUCAGGCCCCCGGGCCUGGCGUUGGGGAUCGGCAGAAGCCCCCUGUGGGCACACGCCGUCCCUCAAAUACAGUGGCGGUCCCGCCGCAGCUUCCAUUGCGUAGUAGCUAACACCUCGCAACUGGAGAGCGGCGCGGCCAUGCCGUAAAACACCCAACUUCUGAACGUUGACCUCGAAUCAGGUAGGACUACCCGCUGAACUUAAGCAUAUCAAUAAGCGGAGGA